UCCCCGUUGAAACGGGGCAGUUUCCGAAGUAAUUGUAACAUCGGAUAGGGGUUGCGCUCGUUGCGGGACUUAACCCUACAUCUCACGACACGAGCUGACGACAGCCAUGCAGCACCUCUAUAGCACCUUCGAAAGAAUCCUCUUUUCGGAGGAUGUGCAGCUACAGUUCAAGCCCAGGUGAGGUUCUUCGCUAAUCAUCGAAUUAAACCAGGCGCUCCACUGCUUGUGCGGGUCCCCGUCAAUUCCUUUGGGUUUUAACCUUGCGGUCGUACUUCCCAGGCGCCUCGCUUAACGCGUUAGCUGCGACACUCACUUUACCCCAUAAACCUUAGACCGAAGUCUAAAAUAAAAAGAUAAAACAAAUAUCUAGCGAGGAUUGUUUACAGCGUGGACUA
rnacentral:misc_RNA from 1 species